rnacentral:rRNA from 1 species
AUUGAACGCUGGCGGCAGGCCUAACACAUGCAAGUCGAGCGAGCGGCGGACGGGUGGGUAAUGUCUGGGAAACUGCCGGAUGGAGGGGGAUAACUCCUGGAAACGUUAGCUACUCCCGAUAACAAUCGGAUGUGCCCAGAUGGGUUGAGCAGUUAGGUGGGGGAACGGCCCACCUAGGCGACGAUCCCUAGCUGGUCUGAGAGGAUGACCAGCCACACUGGAACUGAGACACGGUCCAGACGCCUACGGGAGGCAGCAGUGGGGAAUAUUGCACAAUGGGCGCAAGCCUGAUGCAGCCAUGCCGCGUGUGUGAAGAAGGCCUUCGGGUUGUAAAGCACUUUCAGCGGGGAGGCGUUACCCGCAGAAGAAGCACCGGCUAACUCCGUGCCAGCAGCCGCGGUAAUUC